UACAGAGGUCUCAAGCGUUGUUCGGAUUCAUUGGGCGUAAAGGGUGUGUAGGUGGCGCGCUAAGUCGGGUGUGAAAUUUCGGAGCUUAACUCCGAAACUGCAUUCGAUACUGGCGUGCUUGAGGACUGGAGAGGAGACUGGAAUUUACGGUGUAGCAGUGAAAUGCGUAGAGAUCGUAAGGAAGACCAGUGGCGAAGGCGGGUCUCUGGACAGUUCCUGACGCUGAGGCACGAAGGCCAGGGGAGCAAACGGG
rnacentral:rRNA from 1 species